rnacentral:rRNA from 1 species
GUCAGUCAGCAUGGCCCUUUAUAUCCUGGGCUACACACACGCUACAAUGGCCAACACAAUAGGUUGCUAAGCCGCGAGGUGGCGCCAAUCCAUAAAGUUGGUCUCAGUUCAGAUUGUAGGCUGCAACCCGCCUGCAUGAAGAUGGGGUUGCUAGUAACCGCAGGUCAGCUAUACUGCGGUGAAUACGUUCCCGGGGCUU